UCCUACGGGAGGCAGCAGUGAGGAAUAUUGGUCAAUGGACGGAAGUCUGAACCAGCCAUGCCGCGUGCAGGAUGACUGCCCUAUGGGUUGUAAACUGCUUUUCUGAAGGAAGAAAGGUACCUACGUGUAGGUAUUUGCCGGUACUUCAGGAAUAAGGAUCGGCUAACUCCGUGCCAGCAGCCGCGGUAAUACGGAGGAUCCGAGCGUUAUCCGGAUUUAUUGGGUUUAAAGGGUGCGUAGGCGGUAUAAUAAGUCAGUGGUGAAAGUCUGUGACUCAACCAUAGAAGUGCCAUUGAAACUGUUAUACUUGAGUAUAGAUGAGGUAUGCGGAAUGUGUAAUGUAGCGGUGAAAUGCUUAGAUAUUACACAGAACACCGAUUGCGAAGGCAGCAUACUAAGCUAUAACUGACGCUGAUGCACGAAAGCGUGGGUAGCGAACAGGAUUAGAUACCCUGGUAGUCCACGCCGUAAACGAUGAUCACUCGUUGUUGGCGACAUAAAGUCAGUGACUGAGCGAAAGCAUUAAGUGAUCCACCUGGGGAGUACGUUGGCAACGAUGAAACUCAAAUGAAUUGACGG
rnacentral:rRNA from 1 species